rnacentral:lncRNA from 1 species
AUGUGGUUAAAAUACGUAUCUGUGUAUCUUAUGUGUGUCAGGAGUGUGUGUUAUGAUCGAAAUCUGACACCACAAGUGUUUCCUCACCUUCCUAACAGUCCCUCCCUCUUCCAGCAGAGAACCCCAUUCCUUGAAACACUGGGGAGCCUACUCACGCUGCCACCCUACCACACAAAAUCGUUUUGUCACAAUAUCACCAGUGCAACUUCUGAAAAAUCAACCUACUGGAAGACUCGGUGCUUCAUCCUGGCCUACGUGGAGGAGCUCCCCUGUGCCAGAAAAGGUAAAACCAUCACGUGGAUCAUCCCACCCACACUCAGAGGAGAUGACAUCAUGUAAGGGUGAGAGUCCUGGAGUCACUGAGGUGGGACUUCCAGAGUGCGCUGUCCUUCCUCAGAGCCUCAUAAUGACGUGGUAACAAAUUCACUGGGCUGCCCUGGUGUUGCUGUGAUGUCCUCCCCCCUCCUGCUCCCGGAGACUCAGGCCACUGGCCCUGCUCACCUGCCCCUUGGCUUCUUUCAAUUUGUUCCCAAAGUCUCUGAGUUACUUUGGUGCCAGAAUGUCUUUUGGAAAAACACAUCAAGGACAGAACGUGAAAGGAAUGGUACAGAAAUAAAUAAAUGAAGUUCUAUAGAAGAGGGAGGGAGCAGUUGCCAGGCACUCCUCGCCCCUCCAGCAUCGCACCAAUGGUGGCGCUGCCUUUGCUGCCCACCAGUGACAUCCAUCAGAGACUCAGCAGUGCUUCGGACAUGCAUAUCCUGACGGCCUGGCGGUCUUACAAGUGUCAUGAAAGUGCACACGAAGGUUUGAACCUCCUGAUUCGCAUGAUUUUGUGGGAAUUUAUUGGUCCAUUGGAUGGUGAACCAUUUUCAGAGAUCAUGUCUGGUAGCUUCUGGGAAGAGGACCAGUAACUUAUUCUCAAGUGACAGUUUGGUUGGGCUUAGGACUUUUUGUUUUUUAAAGCUGUUUCACAUAAAAAAAAUAAAAUAAAAUAAAAACUUUUUUUGUAAAAAAGAAUCAGACAUUUAGAAGAGGGGUGUGUGGUUUCCGUAAGUUGUAUAUGGGACAAAUCUUGUUCGCGGGAUUAUUGUGAGCGACGCUCACCAGGAAAGCACUUUGAUGUAUGGUAAAAACUUUAUUCAGACUUGCAAAAACAAUAAUGUUAAAAUAUAAAUCUAAUUCCGGGAGCCCCUGGGUGGUUUAGCCGGUGAAGUAUCUGCCUUCAGCUCAUGUCAUGAUCUCAGGGUCCUGGGAUGGAGCCCGGGGAUGGAGAUCUGCUUCUCCCUCUACCUGCUGCUCCCCCUGCUUGUAUUCUCUCUCUCUCUCUGUCACUCUCUCUCUCAAAUAAAUAAACAAAAAUAAAAAUAAAAAUUUACAUCUAACUCCUUUACAGAGUUCACAAUCACACAAAAAUUUGUUUUUAAUCCAAAGGAAGUUUGUUUUCACAAACAUUUUAAGUUAGAACUUAAUUGCUAAUUCCAUUCCUUAUAAUCCAACUGAGCCCAUUUGUAGGAUCUGGGACCAUUUGGAAAGUGUUUCUAUGACAGUAUUAGGUAUUUCCCUGGGAUCCUCAGCCUGGGGACUUAUCAUAAGUCUGCUGCCCCCUGGGGCCAUCGCAUCAGCCACCAGGUCCUGCACGGCCGAGGGGCCUUUCAGCUGCCAGGUCUCUGAGUGGUGCCCCAUAGGGCCCUGGAUUAGGUUGGUACUUGGUGUUGUUACCAGUACAGUAAUCUGAGAGCCAGGUGUGGCUGGCUGGCCAUUUACAGAUGAGGACACUGAGGCUUCCAGAGAUUUAAAUUAAUGGUCCAAUGCCACACAACUAGUUAGUGGCUGAGGUGGCUUCCUCUGCAGUUCUGUGACACCGAGUCCAUCUGCUAUGCUACUUUUUAGAGACUGACCAACGAAGUUUUAUUUUCUGGGCAGACUUUGGCAGGUGAACACAGGCUUGUUGAAAAUUCCUUCUAUUCAUUAUGCCCUGCAUCUUUUUUAAAAAUUUAUUUUUAUUUUAAAAAAUAUUUAUUUGAGAGAGAGAGAGAGAGAAAGAGAAAGAGAGAGAAAGAGAGAGAGAGAAUGAGCAGAGUAGAGGGGCAGAGGGAGAAACAAACUCCCCGCUGAGCAGGGAGCCUGAUGCCGGGCUCAAUCCUAGGAUCCUUAGAUCACGACCUGAGUUGAAGGAAGAUGCUUAACCCACUGAGCCCCCCAGCCACCCCAAUAGGUAUCUAAGAAAGCUUAUUGUCAGACUGAUGUUAGAUUUGUGGCUUAGGCUGCUAGCAUGACCCUGAGGGAGUCGUUUACCUGAUGGCGGCAGGCAGGAUCGGCAAACAUCUCUCCCCACCCCGAGGUCCAGCCAGUGUCAGGUACGCAGGCCCGCCUGCUAGCCUGGUUCCGUGGUUUGGUUCAGCACAUCUCCCCAACGUCCUGCUCUCUGAGUCACAUGCACGCCCCAGAGGUAACAGUGUCAACGAGUCUGCUGCUUCUGAGUGCAGCUGUGAGGCUCAGCUCUGGGUCAGGUGUGGCACCCAGAGCAGCCAGGCAGUCAUGUGGUUCAGCAAACCUGUCAGCCCCAAGUCCAAGGUGAUACUGGUCCCUUGUUCAGACCCACAGGACAUGUCUGGGUCCUGCCUCAGGACUUUGUGAUGUAUGGCACUCUCAUGGUCUCCUGGAACUUCCUGUGUGAGGUCAGCUAGUUAGUGGACACCUGUGCAUUGUGUCCAAUAGGGAACCAGAUAAGCUGCUUCCAGUCCUCGCACAUUCUAUGUUUUAGAUGUUUUCACAACACACAGUACAGGGCUGUCUCUGAGAUAUACAUCUCGUUGGAUCAGUCCCAUUUGCCCUGUCUGGGGACAACUUCUGGACUUGCUGUCAUCAGGCAGGGCCCAAAUGAAUGAGCGUGGGUGCCUCUUUGAGCUGGGGAGGCUGUUUUGCGGCUUGAGUGGUGGCUGGGGCAGGCAGGGUACUGCAGGGAGGAGGUCACGAGGGGCACAGGUGCCGUGACACCUGGAAGCCAAUGGGACAGUGUGGACUGCCCAAAAGUAAACCCACAGGUACAUAGCUAAUUGAUGGUGGACAAAGCAGCCAAGAUGAUUACAUGGGGGAAGGAUAACCUAGUUCACUGGAACAAACUGGAUAUCCAUCCAGGGAAAAAAGAGCUAUGACCUUAUUUCAUAGAUCUUGGACUUAAACCCAAAAGUUACAAUUAUAAAAUUUCCAUAAGAAUAUGGGAAAAAAAUCUUUGAAAUUUUGGGUUAAGCAAGAUUUCUUAUGACACCAAAAGCGCAAAGCGAAAAAAAAAAAAAAAAAAAGCUACACUGAACUUCAUCGAAUUAGAAUUUCUGCUCUUUGAAAGACACCAGUAAGAGAUAAAAACGACUCGAGGCACCUUGGGGGUUCUAUCGGUGAAACAUCUGCCUUCGGCUCAGGUCACAAUCUCGGGGUCCUGGGAUCCUGAUCUAGAUACUUACCAAAGAGAAAUGAGAACAAAUGCUCAGAAAGGGACUUGAGUCCAUGAACGUUGAUAGCAGGCUUAUCCCUAAGAGCCGGGCCAGGGAACAACCCACAUGCCUAUCAGGAGGGAAAGGUGUAGACAAACAGCGGAUGCUGCUCAGCAUUGAGGAGGACCCAUCAACAAUGUGGUCCCGUGAAUACUUCUCAGGGGUAUCAUCUGAGAAGUUUGCAGACACAAGAGACACCUCAGGUUCGUGCUGUCUGAUUUCGUUUUUUUGGCACCAGGAACCCAUGAGAAUCGGAAAGUAGAUCAGUGGUUGCCAGAUGCAGGGAAGAUGGUGUAGCUCAAUCUGGUGGUACUUGUGCGAGUUUAUACACUUGUCU